GCUCCGCGGCAUGUGGGAUCUUCCCGGAUCGGGGCACGAAUCCGUGUCACCUGCAUCGGCAGGCGGACUCUGAACCACUGCGCCACCAGGGAAGCCCCGAUAAUAGGUGAUUUUUGAAUUGUCUUUCAAUUUUUAGAUGGCAGCCAUACAUAUUUUUUUUCUUAAAAACGUAUGGGGGUCAGGGGGCCGAUGACAGCUGCUGCCCAUCGGUGACUAGUUUGCAGCUUGGUAGCUUCAGGAAGCCUCCUUUGGCAUCAUGACUGGCUUUGGGUUUCUGAACCUUUUGUAUCCGCAAUUGUGAGAAAUAAGGACCUGGACCUAAAACCUCCUCGACGAGCCUUUUAUCAAGAUUUAAAAUACUCCCACUGGUCAAAAAGCAGAGAACCAAGGUUUGAAAUUAGCAUUUUACGUAGUCUAACUACGUCACAAACAUAAGUGGAAAAACAUCGAUGAGGUGGUCAAAUACCAAAAAAUUCUAAAAACUUCUCCGUUUUUCCCAUAAAACGUGGCUUAGAGGGCCCAAUUUAUUAAUUUUAUGUGACAGCUUUCUACCAACACUCAUGGUAGUUAAUGUGCAUGUGUUAUAGUUUGUAAUGUUUUCAUAUAAAUGAACCUCAUAGUAAGCCUGGUUUUCUCCUCCAGUUUACAGCUGAGCAAAUAGGCUGAAGGAAGUAAUUUCUCCCAGCAUCAGAGAGCCAGCAUGAGGAGAGCUGGGGUCAGAAUUUGGUUUUCCAGCUGCAGUGUCCAGUGCUCAUUUCUCCUAUACCAUAUGGCCACAUUAAAAAGAAAUGUGUUGGGUUCCUAUUUUAUUUUCACUUCCAAACUGAUACUCUGAAGCUAACACAGAGACUCUGAUUUUGUAUUAAAAAAUACAUAUGCAUAGGAAUAAAUAUAGAGAAUAUUCAUCAAAAUAUUAAUAGGCAAGUUAUUACCUCUGCAGGGUGGAAUGACAAGGCAAGUCCACUUUGGUAUCCUGAAUUUCUUUUGCAAUGGGCAUAUUCUUUUUCAGGAAAAGAAAGGAAAAACUGGACUUCCUUCACCUCAGAACUGUAUUGUUUACUCAUCAUGAGGCAAUUUACUCACGUGGACCUUUAUCUGCAGUCUUAAGCGUCUUCAGCUUCCCCAUCUAGCACUGGGAGUGAAGAGCAUUUCUUGUUUCUUUUAGCAUCUCUUACCUGUUAUCCUCACCUACUGAUUUUAGGCUGGUGGGGCUAAAAUGGUAAAACAAAAAGCCGGGAAGAGGGGAAUGGAGAGUGUUAUGUGGCUUUUGGCUCUCUUCUAGGCCAACACUCAAGCUAAGCCUCGACUGAAAAGCCGUGGUUGCUGUGUGUGAUCACAUCAGAGUCCAGGUGGGUUUUAUAGGUGGGAGUUGAGGGAAGGAGUUAUUUUCAGAAGCUGACAUUUUAAUCCUACUUCUUCCCCUCUAGCAUGAACUGCAAUGCGAUAACUGGCUGAAAACAGAGCGCUACUAAUUUUUAAAUGGACACAGGGAACACACUCUACCAAAACUGCUCUUGUCAAGGUCACCAUUCAGCAAGCCUGGGAUCCUCUCUCAGCAAAUGCGGCUGCCUCUGCAGUUUAUUCCACCACUCCCCAGCGUCCCUGCAGCUCAGGGCCAUGGUGACACUUAAAAGGUAAGUAAGUCCAGUUGGGCCAUUCGUCUGCUGAAAACCUCCAGCGACUUUCUUCCCCUCGAUACUUGGUCGCUCUCUCCUUUUUCUGUAAGUAAGUAUCACGGUACUAGAGAGGCCUUCUAUGACACCCUAUAGCAGAGAGCUCUCAUGCCCUAUCAAUCAAUCAAUCAAUCAAUCACCUUUAUCUGGUUUUGUAUGUCUUCCUUCCUAGCACUUCUCCCCCUCUGACUCACUAAGUAUAAUUGGGAAAAAAGAUUCCCUUUGCCAAUAGAGCUAAACUCUUCAGUGAGACUGGCUUUUUGGCAGAUUCUAGAAUCUAGGGUUAUGGUAGCCUCCAAAAAAAGAAGUAACUUCGUAUCUUCUGUAGAUACUCGUUUCUGAGGGAAAGCUUACGAUACACUGCAUUUCUCGUCUGUCUUCUAUGUACUAAGCACUGUGUUUAAUUAUACACAGCAUGUUCUCUUCUUCGUACAAUUCAGAAGGCUUAAAGGUAACAUUUUGACGCGCAGUAGUUGAGAAGAUGGUCUCCAGUGUAUUGCAGGUGUCUUACCUACCAGAAUUAACGUGACCCUACAAGUGUCUAUUCAUAUGAAGCGUAGGUGUCAAAGAAUGAAGCCAUUCACAGCUAUAGAAGUGCUCAGGAAAAAACCUGAAGGGGUCAGAAAAAUUUAAGGAGGAAAAUAAUGAGCUUUACACUGAGGGGGAAACCUGAUGAAACCAUCCAGUUUCCUUCUACUUAACCUUUCCGGAGCAGGGAACUCUUAAGGAUUUUCAAAAUCCUUCAGAGCACAGAGGGAAGGAAAGCUUUCAAAUUAUUUUUAAAAUGGAAUAACGUGCCACCAUAAAUUCGGAUUAGGAAUGUGAAAAAAGGCAUUUGUGAGUAUAUCCCGUCACAACCCCAAACCCCCUCAUUUCAGACAGUUAGUUCCUUAAACAACACAGUCACACACCCGGCUCCACAGCAGCGAAACCCUCCAUCCAGGUCUACCACCGUAUGAGACGGAGAAGGAAGGAAAUGCUCAGAAAUGCACUGGAGCUACAUGAAGACACCUUUCCAAUGCUGCCAAAGAGAAUAAACGGAAAGCUGACUCCUUUAAAACAAUCCAUUUAUAAUAUUUAAAUUAUGUUAAAUUUGGAGAUUAAUUAGGCGGAGUCCUCCUAAUUUAAGAAAGAUCCGAUUCCAAAUAAAUAAAAAUUAUGUGACAGAUUACGGUCACAGAUACUAAAACAUCUUGAUCCUAGCACAUAAGCACCAACAGGAAAGCAACUCCAAAUCUUAAGAACCAAACAAAUCUCGAACGAAAAUGCCAUUUCAAGUCAGUGGGGAAACGUGGGGAAACAUUGGCUUAUGGAGUGGUGUUGAGGCAGCCUAAUUAUCACAAAUCCCAGAAACCAUGUAAGGAAAAAACGAUAAACUCGAUUAUGUAAAGAGAAUUUCUACAUUGCAAAAUACUACCAAAAGCAAGUCCAAAACCAAAUGAAAAUGUGGCUAAAAGAUGAUGUCUGCAGUAUGUCGCUGCCACUGGUCAGUCAGUGGUGAAAGCCCCACUGUUCCUUUUCAAUAAGGAAACGUUCAAUUUUGGAAAAUCUGGUGAUGGGCUUGAAAGAUGAGGAAGUAAUGCCAGUGAAGAUUUUAAGCUGGAGGUUAUCUUAAAACUAGCAAGAACUAUGUAACAAUGUUUAUAGUAUAGAGCAUGCUCUAUUGCUAUACUCAUUAAAAAUUCAACUGCUGGUUUUUGAGUUAUGUUACCGAGUGGCUUUAGGUAAAAAUCUUAAUAAAAAAGAUCAGCACUGUUUCUAAACUCCCUUGUGUUCAUUUUCCAGCAAUUUACAUAGCUGCAUCUCCAGACUGCAGCUGUGAAACCCACUGGCCCCUAUUAUUCUGGGACUGAGGUACACAGAGAAACUACCCAACCAGAUAUAACCAGCCUUGUGAGUCCUCCCCAGAUCCAAAGAACAGCAGGCGAAACCUCUAAAGAAGAAUCUUGAUGUUAGGAUUUUAGGAACAAGAUGUAGAGAACAGCACUAGACGUACAAGCAAACUCAGGAACGCCCUCUGCCAAGGUGUAAGACCUCCCAGUCAACUGCUGGCACCCAGGCUGACAAUUCCACUGCUUCUUCCCGUGCCCACCAUCACCAGACUAGUUCGGCCCUUCAGUUACACACACACACCCCGCCCGAUGAUCAGAAGAGACUCUAAACAACUUUAAGACGGCCCUUCUUCAGAUCCAGCCUAGUACCUUCCCGUGCUUCGCUCUGGACCUUCCUGCGCCCACCACCACACACGUUCCAUCCAGCGCACCUAGGCUGCUGGUUUCUCAACCAUGCUCCUAAAUCUCUCUCUGCUAUUUCCUCCAUCUGGAAUGUCCUCUUCCCCACCACUUGCUAUAGAAAUCCUAAAUAUGCAAUGACAACCAGUCUCGGUGCCCCCCGGGAAGCCCAUUUUGGGGGUUCUUCGGUCACAUAUUCUGACUCCUAGUUAUGCUCAUUCUGAACUAUGUGCACCAAGAGUAAUCUAAGCAGCUUAGAACCUCCUUUCUGGUUACAACACCAAAGUUUAACUACUUAAUGCCCUAAAUCUGUGUUCAUAGUCCCUAGAUCCAAAUGACGUUUUUGUCGCCUCCCCGUGUGCUAAUCAAUCAAUCAGACAUACCCCAAGAUGACUCAUCUUCCCCAAACAAACCACCUACCAACAAAAUGGGAGAAUACAACCCAUGGGGAUGGUUUCUAACCUUACAUGUCAAUAGAAGGCCCGGUUUAUUCAAAUAAUGGCCUGGUCCCCUUCUCCGACAAUAUCAUUAAGUCUAAGGAAGUGGAAGAAGACCAGAAUCUGUGAAAACCCAGGUGUGACUCACAUAUCACAGAAAUUUCAAACAAGACCUUUCUGGUAACAACAGCAGCAGCUCGGUAUGUACUGACCACCUCUGUCCCUAAAGCUGGUGUGAGACCUUGAAGGGAACCACUGAACAAAUACUACCAGAAAUGUACCACAUACCAUCAAUUCAGAUGCCAUGGUAAUGACUUGCAGAACACUGUGGUGUGUCUAACUGGUACUCCCUGCUUCCGUGCAUCUUAUCCACAGCUUCAACUGAGCCUCGCACUGCUCCCAACCAGUGGACACGGAUUCAUCACCACCACAGCACAGUGAAGAAACUAAAGGGUAGGAAGCCAGACCAGCCCCCGCUUUUCGUGCACUGCCCACCACAGAAGCCACUCCUUACGCUGCCGCGUGAGAAGCACGUUUAUAACGCCCCCAGCCCCACCCCCACCCCACUAACCAGCUGCUCUUGGGCAGUGGUUACCAGACUUAAUUUCACACACGAGUUCAACUCAGAAGUGAAACAAAAACCAAACCAACCUAGGGAAUGCAGCCUUCUAUUUUGGCAUGGAUAACCAACAAAAACCACUAUCACUGCCUCUUUCUCUUUCACAGGAAGAGAAGGAAGAAAUUUCUGGCUCCAUAGUUUCGGUACACUUAAGAUCUGUGCAUUUACUGAAUGUAAAGAUUACUCAAAACCAACCCGCCCACCCAUAAACAAACACUGAUAUGCAUGCUAAGGUGACUGGGGGUGAAAUGUACUGGUGUCUGACACUUCCUUUCAAGCAGUUAAAAAUCAGAUGAAGGUGAUAAAAACAAAUAUAACAAAAUGUUACUAACUUACAGAAUCAAGGAUCUAUGGGAAUUUACGGUGUAACUCUUCACAAUUUUCUGCAUGUUUGCAAUUUUUCAUACCAAAAUAUUAGAAAAAACCCAAAAUGGCUAAAAAGAGUGUGGUCAUUUAAAAUGAAAUGCAGCUUCGGUAAAAGCUGCUUUUUUCACCGUGAGCCACUGCAAACUACAUCUUCAAAGUUAAAAGGCCGAUGUUUGGGAACCACUUAUAUGUCUAGAUACCAUCUGGACAGCUCACACUCUGAACGUCUACUUCUCUCCAACUCUACUCCCAUCUCCUCCAUGAGCUACUGAACAGACCACCUGGUCUCCCCAUGCAGCGUGUGUUAAGACAGCGCAUGGAACCGUGUUACCCACUGGAGGCUUAAAAUGCUCCAGUGGCUCCCCACAGUGCCUGUAUUAAAACCCAAGUUCUCCACCAGGCCCUACACAGCCGUACACCACCUGACUCUCCCACGGCUACCCCCCCCCCCCACCUCCACUACUAUGCUGCAGCUACGCAUCUUUCUGUGCCACUGUAUUAUCUCUGUUGACUCACUUCUAUCUGAAAUGACUUACACGUUUAUUUGCUUACUUGCCAACUCUCCCCAUAACUAGAAUGAAACUCCAUGAAGACAGAGACCUGAAACAAUGCCAACCCAUUCAGUGAAGGCUUUAAUACGUAUUUGGUGAAUCUCUGAUUCAAGCGCUGAAAGUUCCAUUUUUAACAACCAGUUUGCCCAGGAUUGCAGUAGCAAGCAAAAAAUUGAAGGCAUUAGCAGGGGAAAUAGCUCUCUAUCUUAUACUUCUCACUCGGUCCUAAGAGUCACUACCGUAGUAGCAGUGUGGCUCCCAAAGAUGUAACAGAGACGACUUCUGCUCCAGUUCUUAUUAAAAGUAGACUUUGUCCCAUCUUUGCUACUGCGGUAGAAACACAUCAGGAAAGCAGAGGUAACAGAUGAUUGUUUUGAUAUUGAAAGAAAAAUUCUUAGAUCUUGUUUUUAUAACUGAGGGAAGCAAUGUAAAUGGAGAAAAUAUACAAGUUCACACAUGCAAAGGUAACUGUAAAAAAUAAAUUGACAUGAUGUUAUUUA